rnacentral:tRNA from 1 species
UGGUGUGUAGCUUAAUGGUGAAGCGCUCCCCUGUUAAGGGAGAUAUUGUAGGUUCGAGUCCUACCACAUCAG